AACGAACGCUGGCGGCAGGCCUAACACAUGCAAGUCGAGCGAGGACUUCGGUUCUAGCGGCGGACGGGUGAGUAACGCGUUGGAAUGUUCCCUUCUCUACGGAAUAGCCCUGUGAAACUGGGAGUAAUACCGUAUAAGCCCUUUUGGGUAAAGAUUUAUCGGAUAAGUAUCAGCCCGCGUUGGAUUAGGUAGUUGGUGGGGUAAUGGACUAACAAGCCGACGAUCUAUAGCUGGUUAGAGAGGAUGAUCAGCCACACUGGGACUGAGACACGGCCCAGACUCCUACGGGAGGCAGCAGUGGGGAAUCUUAGGAAAUGGGGGCAACCAUGAUCUAGCCAUGCCGCGUGAGUGAUGAAGGCCUUAGGGUUGUAAAGCUCUUUCAGCUGGGAAGAUAAUGACGGUACCAGCAGAAUAAGCCCCGGCUAACUCCGUG
rnacentral:rRNA from 1 species